CUUAAAUAUUUCCUGAGUGUUUACAAGGUGUGAGGCUUGAGGGAGAGUAGACUCUCAUUUUGCUCUAGAAAGCAGAUUUCUAAAGAAAUGAUUUACAGUAAAGAGUGAUCAUUGUAAUGACAGUUCUGGAUGGUACAAAGAAGUGGGAAGAUGAGAAGACAGUGAGGAAAGGCUUCCUGCAAAAGAAUCUAGCAAUGAAGACAUCUCUUCUCCAGUUUCAAGAUUUAGAAUAUAGGUAAGCAAUGCAAUUCCUAUAAAACAUCUCUCCAUUUACCUUUUCUUUCUUUCUUGUUUC
ensembl:lncRNA